rnacentral:rRNA from 1 species
GUGGGGAAUAUUGCACAAUGGGGGAAACCCUGAUGCAGCGACGCCGCGUGAAGGAUGAAGUAUUUCGGUAUGUAAACUUCUAUCAGCAGGGAAGAAAAUGACGGUACCUGACUAAGAAGCCCCGGCUAACUACGUGCCAGCAGCCGCGGUAAUACGUAGGGGGCAAGCGUUAUCCGGAUUUACUGGGUGUAAAGGGAGCGUAGACGGCUGUGCAAGUCUGGAGUGAAAACCCGGGGCUCAACCCCGGGAUUGCUUUGGAAACUGUGUAGCUGGAGUACCGGAGAGGCAAGUGGAAUUCCUAGUGUAGCGGUGAAAUGCGUAGAUAUUAGGAGGAACACCAGUGGCGAAGGCGGCUUGCUGGACGGUAACUGACGUUGAGGCUCGAAAGCGUGGGGAGCAAACAGGAUUAGAAACCCCUGUAGUCC